AUUGAACGCUGGCGGCAUGCCUUACACAUGCAAGUCGAACGGCAGCACGGGUGCUUGCACCUGGUGGCGAGUGGCGAACGGGUGAGUAAUACAUCGGAACAUGUCCUGUAGUGGGGGAUAGCCCGGCGAAAGCCGGAUUAAUACCGCAUACGAUCUACGGAUGACAGCGGGGGACCUUCGGGCCUCGCGCUGUAGGGUUGGCCGAUGGCUGAUUAGCUAGUUGGUGGGGUAAAGGCCUACCAAGGCGACGAUCAGUAGCUGGUCUGAGAGGACGACCAGCCACACUGGGACUGAGACACGGCCAAGACUCCUACGGGAGGCAGCAGUGGGGAAUUUUGGACGAUGGGCGAAAGCCUGAUCCAGCAAUGCCGCGUGUGUGAAGAAGGCCUUCGGGUUGUAAAGCACUUUUGUCCGGAAAGAAAUCCUUGGCCCUAAUACGGUCGGGGGAUGACGGUACCGGAAGAAUAAGCACCGGCUAACUACGUG
rnacentral:rRNA from 1 species